UACAGAGGUCCCAAGCGUUGUUCGGAUUCACUGGGCGUAAAGGGUGCGUAGGCGGUCGGGUAGGUCUGAUGUGAAAUCUCACAGCUUAACUGUGAAACUGCAUUGGAUACUAUCCGGCUAGAGGAAUGGAGGGGAGACUGGAAUACUUGGUGUAGCAGUGAAAUGCGUAGAUAUCAAGUGGAACACCGGUGGCGAAGGCGGCGACCUGGUCCGACACUGACGCUGAGGCGCGAAAGCGUGGGGAGCAAACAGG
rnacentral:rRNA from 1 species